CAGGAAAUGUGAAAUCAAUCGAGCAGCAGCAGGCGAGGGCGAAUUGACGGCGGAGCAGAGCCUCCGGAUCGCGCCCUUGUGGGCCAGACGGAGCCGUGGCCCGCGCGGGCUGCAAAUCUAGACCCAUAAGCGGCCCACAGGCUUUCGAUUGAUGACUCCGAAUUGAGUCACAAGCGUCCCAACAGGCUUUCAUAAGCCUAGCCGGCCCGAUUCACGUCAAUAUCUAGACCCAUCAUUUUUGAUGCUUCCUCUAAAAAAAAAAACAAAUCACUUGUGAUGCUUCCACUGUGAAAUCUUUAUUUUUACACGCCGCAGUUAGAUCUUUGGGAACAAGGCGCCUAGUUUCCUUUUUCUUUUCCUUUGUCGUCGAAUUGUGCAGAGUGAUGCGUUACCCUUUUUUUUUUCCCCGGAAGGCGUGAGAUCACGUGGACAAGAAAGUUUGGCAAGCUGUUUGUUACAAAAUGGGCAGUGUUCCUUUCGCUUUGGCCACUUAAAGGGCAUUGCCUAUUUGACUUAUGUAAUAAGGGCAUAUGCUAAUGCAGCUGUGCAAGAGCAGAUAACUUUGUGGAUGUAACUAGCUAAUGGUUUGUCCGCGAGAUGAACUAGCAGGGGUUGUCUGGUUUGAGUUCAGUCUUGUCCUCUAAAACCAAAUUAUUGAUGAGCAUAUGGAGUUGCGGGCGAAUUAUUGAUGAGUAUAGGAGAAAAGCUUGGAUUUUCUCCUAUUCACAAGUGCACUGCUGCAGUCCGAAUGCUUCCAUAGGGCGAUCUUAUUGAUGAG
rnacentral:lncRNA from 1 species